UGAGGAAUAUUGGGCAAUGCCCGAAAGGGUGACCCAGCAACGCCGCGCGGAGGAUGAAGGUCGUAAGAUUGUAAACUCCUGCUAGAGGGGAAGAAUAACUAAGUUUGGAGCUUAGUAUGACUGUACCCUCAGAGAAAGCCCCGGCUAACUACGUGCCAGCAGCCGCGGUAAUACGUAGGGGGCAAGCGUUGUCCGGAUUUACUGGGUGUAAAGGGCGCGCAGGCGGAAUGGAAAGUCAGUGGUGAAAUCCUACCGCUUAGCUGCAGAACUGCCUUUGAUACUUUCAUUCUUGAGUUCGGGAGAGAGAGACGGAAUUCCAGGUGUAAUGGUGAAAUACGUAGAUAUCUCGAAGAACACCAGUUGCGAAGGCGGUCUCUUGGUCCGAUACUGACGCU
rnacentral:rRNA from 1 species